AGCUGCGCAGCGCCCCUUCAGCGAAGCGGGAAGAGGAACAGAAGGGGCUCCGUUCCUCCUCCUGCUUCGCUGAAGGGGUGCUGCGCAGCU